UACAGAGGUCCCAAGCGUUGUUCGGAUUCACUGGGCGUAAAGGGUGCGUAGGUGGCCAGGUAAGUUCGGUGUGAAAGCUCGGAGCUCAACUCCGAAAUGUCAUUGAAUACUAUCUGGCUUUAUUGAGGGUCGGAGGGGAGACUGGAAUUCUCGGUGUAGCAGUGAAAUGCGUAGAUAUCGAGAGGAACACCAGUGGCGAAGGCGAGUCUCUGGACGACACCUGACACUGAGGCACGAAAAGCUAGGGGAGCAAACAGG
rnacentral:rRNA from 1 species